AGAGUUUGAUCCUGGCUCAGCCUGAACGCUGGCGGCGUGGCUAAGACAUGCAAGUCGUACGGAUGUAGCAAUACAUCAGUGGCGGACGGGUGAGUAAUGUAUCGCUAACGUGCCCCGGAGUCUGGGAUAGCUGCCCGAAAGGGCAGGUAAUACCAGAUGAUAUAUCCUGGUCGCAUGGCCGGGAUCUCAAAGGGAAACCGAUCUGGGAGCGGGCGAUAUCGUAUCAGCUAGUUGGUGAGGUAACGGCUCACCAAGGCGACGACGCGUAGCCGGACUGAGAGGUUGGCCGGCCACAUUGGGACUGAGACACUGCCCAGACUCCUACGGGGGGCUGCAGUAACGAAUCUUCCGCAAUGCACGCAAGUGUGACGGAGCGACGCCGCGUGUGGGACGAAGUCCUUCGGGAUGUAAACCACUGUCAGGGGUUAGAAAGUUCUGA
rnacentral:rRNA from 1 species